rnacentral:lncRNA from 1 species
CACAUUCCAAAUACAAGUCAAAAGACUUCUGAUCUGGAUCCAAGUUUCCCUGAAGCAUAAGGAGAAAAAGAACAGCAAGAGAUGGAAGAGGAUAAAGGAGAAUAUAUUCAGCAGCAUGAAACCAGGCUGAGGAACUCAACUCCAAGGUUCUACUCAGAUUCAAAAGGAAAAAAACUACGCAUAGAAGAGGUUAGCAGAAGAGUGCAUCUAAGCUUCAUAUUUACCUGACCUAUUCAAACAAAAACUUACAGAAGUAUGAAAGGCUCCG